UAAGGGACAUAAGUUUGAACAAUCAACCUUAUAUUAAUUAAUUUUGUGAUAAAUACACUGAACUGUAUGUUGUAGACACUUAGGCACCUCCAGGCAUAAAAAGACUGGAUUUUCUUAACAUUUUGUAUGGUACCGUUAUUUACUUUCAUCAAAACAUGUUCAUUAUUUCAUUACAUAUAAUGCUUAUUAAAUCACUAUUUAAUGUUCAUUCACAUAACAAGAAAUGUCAUGCAUUCUGUAUGUUUUAUAUAUCUUCACAGCAGACCCACUGGUUCAUGGACACCAGGUUGAAAAGUCUGUGAAAGAUCUCAUCGAAACACAUCAUGUGGUCGCAAUAAAGCUGGAUGUGCAGAUCCUGAUGUCAUUGUACGGGAUUGAGGGGCGUGAACAUGCAUCAGAACGUCUCUUUUCGUGUUCCCCGGAAGUCGCUUGCGUUUGGAACGACGUGAGGCUGAGUAAACGAUGACAGGAUUUUCAUUUCGGCGGCUAAAUCCAGCCUGCCAUAUUAACCGGCCGAGAGCACAAGUGAAGCACUUAAUCUGCCAUCCUGAAUCGAGUGCACACGAGCGGACAGGUACCAGACUCCCUCCUGAAGCACAAGAGGGCGGAACGGGGCGGAACUGGGAUCCGGGAGCAGUCGAUACUCGCGGCAGGAGGACUGAAGCCAUUAUAGUGUAAAGUUGCUGUUUGCAAAGUCCCUCCAGCGGAUGUUUUUCUCUAUAUCAGCGUCAGUGUUUCUGAAACGCCUCCAUUGUAGUCUUGAGUUUUCUUCCGGAAACGAACACGUCACAAUUUAAAUAAUUCAUACAGUUGUGGCGUGAACUCUGCUAUUCAUGUACAUUUAGAACAAUUUUAUAGACAUAUACGGUUAUAGUUAUGAUCUGUGGUGCGAACGGGACGUGUCUUUCUAUCUGUCUGGGAGUGGAGGACUCAAUUAAACAUGUUGAGCUGAGAGAAGACUGGACGUUAUAAAUGGCGGACAUUUUGAAACGUAAGAAAAUGGCGUUUAGUGAUAACAAUGCAACAGCUUUUUCACCUUUCAGCAACUCACAAAUGUAUCACAACUGAGACUCGACUUGAUUUGAGUGGAGUUUGACAACAAAAUGCUGUAAUAAAAACA